rnacentral:rRNA from 1 species
CAGCAGCCGCGGUAAAACGCAGGGGGCUAGCGUUGCUCGGAAUUACUGGGCGUAAAGGGAGCGUAGGCGGGUCGUUUAGUCAGAGGUGAAAUCCCGGGGCUCAACCUCGGAACUGCCUUUGAUACUGGCGACCUUGAGUAUGGGAGAGGUAAGCGGAACUCCGAGUGUAGAGGUGAAAUUCGUAGAUAUUCGGAAGAACACCAGUGGCGAAGGCGGCUUACUGGCCCAUUACUGACGCUGAGGCUCGAAAGCGUGGGGAGCAAACAGGAUUAGAUACCCCCGUAGUCCCUGUCUCUUAUAC